rnacentral:rRNA from 1 species
CACGUAGGGGGCAAGCGUUGUCCGGAUUUAUUGGGCGUAAAGAGCUCGUAGGCGGUUCGGUAAGUCGGGUGUGAAACCUCCAGGCUCAACCUGGAGACGCCACCUGAUACUGCUGUGACUCGAGUCCGGUAGGGGAGCGUGGAAUUCCUGGUGUAGCGGUGAAAUUCGUAGAUAUUCGGAAGAACACCAGUGGCGAAGGCGGCUCACUGGUCCGGUACUGACGCUGAGGUGCGAAAGCGUGGGGAGCAAACAGG